ensembl:lncRNA
CUACAAUAAAUACAUCCAACUGAAUUUUGAACAAAACUUUCAGAGACUCAGAGGAAAUAUGUUACAGGGAACAACCUUCCUCAACAAGGGGCUUUGUUACUCAUCUUGUUUAUAAAGCCCUUGCAUUCAAAAAUCCCCAAAUAGCAGAUCCAGUAUUUGCUGUAUCAUCUCAGCCAGCCUUGGUGGCAAGGACAUGGUAGGAAAGUACUGCAGGACACAACUUUCAGAGGACACCCAGGUGCUUGGAAGAAUGUCAGUCACUGCAGGCCUGUGGAGUACAUGAGCGUCCUUUACCUACUGCAGAUGCUCAGCUAUGGCAACCACUGGGGUACCCCCAAGCUCUGUGCAGCCCUGCCCUGUUGGCCUCUGACCAUCCCCAUUGCCACCAGUGCCGCUCACAGCGCUCCUACCAGCUGUGGUUCACACUGUACAGCUUUUAAGUGAAAGUGCAUCAGGAUUAAAUCACGUCAGGUUUUUCCUGCUACCUGGCCAUGCUGUGUCGGUGUUGGUGUGAGCAAGCGUAUCAAGACCUGCUCCUUGCAAGAUGAAAACAAGGCUCUCUCAGCUUCAAUUUGAGUUUCGGACCACAGUUUGUCAAAACGUGGAUGUGAAAUGAUCUCUGCCAGUUUACUUAUCCCUUCAUGCUGAUAAAGUCCCACCAUUCCAGCACAAAGUCCUCAGAGAAAUCCAUAAAACGAAAAAAAAUAAGAAAAAAAAAACCAAGCUAAACCAACUCUCAAAUUCCCAUGUAAACUGGGUUUAAGAGUGGAAAAUUUCUUCUACCUAUUCUUUGGGUGGUACAAAAAUCUAGAAUUCCUAUAGCCCUGCUUCCUUGCGCCAAGUCAAACAAGGAUAUUGUCCUUUUAAUGUCUUGAAGGCUCUGUUUUCUUGUAAUGCCAAAUGCAAUAUUUUUUUGAAAACACUACACCAGAAGUUUCCCAGCUGAGAAAACAGGCUGGUGAAAAAUGGUUUCAGAAAACGAAAUAAACCAUGCAAAAGCUGU